UCCUCUUUACAGAGGCAGUUUGUUUCGAGUUCCCGGCAUUAUCCGCUGGUAACAAAACAUGAGGGUUGCGCUCGUUGCGGGACUUAACCCAACAUUUCACAACACGAGCUGACGACAGCCAUGCACCACCUGUGUAGCACCCUCGAAGGCGACCACGUUUCGGCGGCUUGCAGCCACAUGUCAAGCCCUGGUAAGGUUCUUCGCGUUGCAUCGAAUUAAACCACAUGCUCCACCGCUUGUGCGGGCCCCCGUCAAUUCCUUUGAGUUUCAGCCUUGCGGCCGUACUCCCCAGGCGGGGCACUUAAUGCGUUAGCGACGGCACCCAGGGGGUCGCUCCCCCAGGCACCUAGUGCCCAUCGUUUACGGCGUGGACUAC
rnacentral:misc_RNA from 1 species